ACGCGUAUAGAACCUACCUUUUACAGAGGAAUAGCCUUUAGAAAUGAAGAUUAAUGCCUCAUGGUAUUGUAGACUGGCAUCAGUUUAUAAUUAAAGAUUUAUCGGUAAAAGAUGGCUAUGCGUCCUAUUAGUUAGUUGGUAAGGUAACGGCUUACCAAGACAGCGAUAGGUAGGGGUCCUGAGAGGGAGAUCCCCCACACUGGUACUGAGACACGGACCAGACUCCUACGGGAGGCAGCAGUGAGGAAUAUUGGACAAUGGAGGAGACUCUGAUCCAGCCAUGCCGCGUGUAGGAAGAAUGCCCUAUGGGUUGUAAACUACUUUUAUACAGGAAGAAACACUGGUAUGUAUACCAGCUUGACGGUACUGU
rnacentral:rRNA from 1 species